rnacentral:rRNA from 1 species
AGUGAACGCUGGCGGUAGGCCUAACACAUGCAAGUCGAACGGCAGCACAGGAGAGCUUGCUCUCUGGGUGGCGAGUGGCGGACGGGUGAGGAAUACAUCGGAAUCUACCUUUUUCGUGGGGGAUAACGUAGGGAAACUUACGCUAAUACCGCAUACGACCUACGGGUGAAAGUGGGACGGCAAGGCCUCACGCGAUUAGAUGAGCCGAUGUCCGAUUAGCUAGUUGGCGGGUAGUGCCACCAAGCGACGAUCGGUAGCUGGUCUGAGAGGAUGAUCAGCCACACUGGAACUGAGACACGGUCCAGACUCCUACGGGAGGCAGCAGUGGGGAAUGAUU